GUGCUCCCUUCGGCAGCACAUAUACUAAAACUGGAACAAUACAGAGAAGAUUAGCAUGGCACCUAUGCAGGAUAACAGACAAAUUUGUGAAGUGUUCCAUUUUUUU
rnacentral:snRNA from 1 species